AGGACCAACUGUAUUUUUCAUCUACGAGAGCACACUUGAUUAAACAUCCUUGCAAGAAAAACAUAGCCCUGUAUCUAGGGUAUAGAACACCCUGUUUCACAUGUUUCUGGUGACAACUGUUGUUAUAGCAGACAUCCCUUUUGCGUGGAUAUAAGUAAUUCAGUUUUUGCUUAUUUGCAUGGAGAUCAGAUAUCUCAGACCAAUGUCUAUUUCUCAAACACCCGGGGAUACAGAUUUCAGAAGUUUGCCUAUGAAA